GACGAACGCUGGCGGCGUGCUUAACACAUGCAAGUCGAACGGAAAGGCCCCAGCUUGCUGGGGUACUCGAGUGGCGAACGGGUGAGUAACACGUGGGUGAUCUGCCCUGCACUCUGGGAUAAGCCUGGGAAACUGGGUCUAAUACCGGAUAGGACCGUGCUUUAGUGUGUGCGGUGGAAAGUUUUUCGGUGCAGGAUGAGCCCGCGGCCUAUCAGCUUGUUGGUGGGGUAAUGGCCUACCAAGGCGGCGACGGGUAGCCGGCCUGAGAGGGUGUACGGCCACAUUGGGACUGAGACACGGCCCAGACUCCUACGGGAGGCAACAGUGGGGAAUAUUGCACAAUGGGCGCAAGCCUGAUGCAGCGACGCCGCGUGGGGGAUGACGGCCUUCGGGUUGUAAACCCCUUUCGGCAGGGACGAAGCUUUUGUGACGGUACCUGCAUAAGAAGCACCGGCUAACUACGUG
rnacentral:rRNA from 1 species